rnacentral:misc_RNA from 1 species
GAAGAAUGCCUCUUAUAAUACAAACAAGUAAUAAUCCAACAGCGAUGAAACACAAUACAACAAUGCCAUUUUUGUGAUCUCCAUUCAUGAUCUCUCCCUCGUUCACAAAUGAGAAAAGGGUAGCUUUCCGUUUCUCAGUAGUUUGGAAUACAUAAUUUGAACUGAUAAUCAGUUUGACCUAGGUAUACAACAGGGACCCUGACUUGAAUUCCUAAUCUGCAAAAUGCUUGUCUUGACCAGUAUUCACAAUAAUUUUCUGACCAAUAAAUAGGACUCAACCUCCAAAUAGCUAUGAUAAGCUCUAUUACAUUCAAACUCCUAACAUCGCAUGAUUUACCAGAAACCUCUGCAAGAACAAGUACCAUCCUUAAAAUGAUGAAAACGAUUAGAAUCUCUCAUUACGAUCUCCCUCCUCGUUAUCUUAGACAUGAACUUGGCCAUUUCAUGACAGUCCCCACAGACUCUUAAAUUUUUGGUUACCCGUAUCGUUUUGCCGGGUGGUAAGUUCAAUAUUCCAAAAGCCAUGGCCAAUUUUUCACUAUGCCCACAAAGAGUCAUUUCCUUCUCCAGGUCAUCUGCAUUAAUCAGUGAAUAUUCCAUUUUAGGAAAGUAACCUUCCUCCUUCAUCUUUGAUCUUAACUCAUUCAAUAAAGACUUGAUCUUCUGGGAUUGUAGGUGUGAACCGUCUCCAGAAACAAAUAUAUGAACUUUGCCCUUGACCUCUAUCCAACUGCAGCCAGGAUUUUUCUUUAAACCCCGCCCACCAAUCCUCUCUCUUAGUUUUUUCACUUCUUCCCACUUUUCAGCCUCAGAAUAGAUAUUUGCUAAAAGUACGUAGUAUCCUGUGUUCUCAGGUUCUAGUUCAAAGACAUGUUCUGCUACUUUUUCUGCUAAUUUAACAUCAUGGUGAAUCCUGCACCCACAGAGCAAAGCACCCCAUAUUGUGGCAUCGGGUUCAAUUGGCAUUGAUUUUAUGAAUUGAUAUGCCAUUGAUAGUUUCCCAGUGCGGGCAAGAAGAUCCACUAUACAAGCAUAGUGCUCCAAUUUUGGAGCAAUACUGCAUUCAUGUUGCAUAAUGUUAAAUAAUAUCCAUCCUUCAUUUAGUAACCCAGAAUGGCUGCAAGCAUACAGUAUAGAAAUAAAGGAAACUUCAUCAGGCUCAAUCCCUGCUUGCCUCAUCUCAUUGAAGGCAGCAAUAGCUUCUUUCCCAAAUCCAUGCAUUCCAUACCCAGCAAUCAUCACUGUCCAUGAGAUCAGAUCCUUAGUGAGAAUCAUAUCAAAUAGUAACCGUGCAAGAGCUAAUGCCCCGCACUUCACAUACAAGUCAACAAGUGCAUUGGCAACAUGUUGAUCAGAAAAACAAUCAUUUCUCAAUAUGAAGCCAUGGAUCUCUCUACCUCUAUCUAGAGCAGCUAGGCUAGCACAAGCUGGAAGAAUACAAGCGAUUGUUCUACCAUCAGGUUUUAAUUCUUGUAACAUUGCAACAAACAGACCAAGAGCUUCAUUGGGAUGACCAUUUUUUGAAUACCCUCCAAUCAUAGUAUUCCAUGAGAUAAUGUCUUUCAUAGGCAUCUUCAGAAACACUGAGUUAGCUUCUUCCAUGCUUCCACAUUUUGCAUACAUAUCCAUGAGAGAAUUACAUACAAAAAGAUUUGAUUGGAUAUCAUUUCCCUUGAUGUAAUUAUGCACAUCCUUGCCAUCUUCCAGUGACCCAUUACAAGCACAAGCAUGAAGAAUUGUAGAAAUGGUAAAAAUAUCUGGUCUAACACCUUCACUUUUCAUUUUUUGGAACAAUCUAAUAGCCCCUUCAGACAAACCUUCUCGAGCAUAACCUGCAAUCAAGGAAGUCCAAGAUACAACACUUCUUUCACCCAUCUUCUCAAAAACUAGAAUUGCAUCAUGCAAGUCACCACAUUUAGAAUACAUGUCCAGUAAAGUAUUAGCAAAGGUUAUUCUCCUAUCAAAACAGGCCUUUAUUGCUAAAGCAUGAACUGCUCUACCCAACAGAACAUUGUCACAAUUUACACAAGCUGCAAGGACACUGAUCACUGUAGACAAAUCCAAGUUAACUCCCAAAUAUAGCAGCUCUUUGAAAACCAGCAGUCCUUCCUCGGGAAGAUCAUUUGCCACAUAACCACUUACCAUAGAAUUCCAUGAGAUACUAUCUCGGUCACUCAAUUCAUCGAACAACUUACGUGCACUCUCAACUUUCCUAAUGUUGAAGUAAAAAGAUAUUAGAGAAUUAACAACAAUAUUAUGGGAGCCAUAACCCAAUUUCAACAAAUACCCGUGAGCCCAUUCACCUUCCUUACGACUUCCUAAUGCUGCAAAACACUUCAAAAUGCUGGAAAACGUAUGAGAGUUCACUUCAACCCCCAAAUCCAACAUCUUCCUGAAUAUAUGUACACUUUCCUCAAAAUCACCGAUCCAUGCAUACCCAGUUAACAUUAGAUUCCAAAGAAAAACUUUCCGAUUUGCAAUCUUAUCAAAAAUUAAUCUCCCUUCUCUUAUAUCCCCACAACUUACGUACAUAAAUACAAGUUUUGUUCCCAAAACCCCAUCGAUUGAAACCCCAUUAGAGCAAAUAAUCGAAUGAACUUGUUUGCCAUCUUGUAAAGAGUUAGUGUCGGCACAAAGCUGCAAUACUGAACAGUAAGUACUUGAUUCAAUUUUGAUUUUUGGAGACAUGUGAAGCAAUUCUAUGGCUUUUCUAAGAUUACCCACUUCACAAAAUUCACAGAUUUUUCUGUUGCAAUCAGAGAUUUUGUAUUCUUCUGCCUCAAUAACCGAGGAAGAGAUGGACAAUGUGGUAUAAGAACUGUGUAAAUGGGAUGAAAAAAGAGUGGACUUUGGAUAUGGUUUACCAAAAAAGAAGGCAUUUCGAGAUUUGAUAGAGCUGUCUCUGUGGUUUUUGUUCUGUGGAGAAACAGAGAUCUUUGGUGGUGCGGUUUUGGCCAUGGAAAUCAACAUUGAAUAGAGAAAAAAAAUGCGGGAAAACAAACUUUUG